UCAGGUAGAGAAUACCAAGGCGCUUGAGAGAACUCGGGUGAAGGAACUAGGCAAAAUGGUGCCGUAACUUCGGGAGAAGGCACGCUGAUGUGUAGGUGAAGCCCCUGCGGGCGGAGCUGAAAUCAGUCGAAGAUACCAGCUGGCUGCAACUGUUUAUUAAAAACACAGCACUGUGCAAACACGAAAGUGGACGUAUACGGUGUGACGCCUGCCCGGUGCCGG
rnacentral:rRNA from 1 species